UACGUAGGGCGCAAGCGUUGUCCGGAAUCAUUGGGCGUAAAGAGCUCGUAGGUGGUCUGUUACGUCUGCUGUGAAAUCCUAGGGCUUAACCCUGGGCCUGCAGUGGAUACGGGCAGACUAGAGGUAGGUAGGGGAGAGUGGAAUUCCUGGUGUAGCGGUGAAAUGCGCAGAUAUCAGGAAGAACACCUAUGGCGAAGGCAGCUCUCUGGGACGGUACUGACGCUGAGACGCGAAAGCGUGGGGAGCGAACAGG
rnacentral:rRNA from 1 species